rnacentral:rRNA from 2 species
AAACCGGGGCUAAUACCGGAUAACAUUUUGAACCGCAUGGUUCGAAAUUGAAAGGCGGCUUCGGCUGUCACUUAUGGAUGGACCCGCGUCGCAUUAGCUAGUUGGUGAGGUAACGGCUCACCAAGGCAACGAUGCGUAGCCGACCUGAGAGGGUGAUCGGCCACACUGGGACUGAGACACGGCCCAGACUCCUACGGGAGGCAGCAGUAGGGAAUCUUCCGCAAUGGACGAAAGUCUGACGGAGCAACGCCGCGUGAGUGAUGAAGGCUUUCGGGUCGUAAAACUCUGUUGUUAGGGAAGAACAAGUGCUAGUUGAAUAAGCUGGCACCUUGACGGUACCUAACCAGAAAGCCACGGCUAACUACGUGCCAGCAGCCGCGGUAAUACGUAGGUGGCAAGCGUUAUCC